UGAGUCUCCUUUCACUUGUCCUGUGCCCU
rnacentral:piRNA from 1 species